GUGCCAGCAGCCGCGGUAAGACGAGGGGUCCUAGCGUUGUUCGGAAUCACUGGGCGUAAAGCGUUCGUAGGCGGCUCUAUAAGUCGGGUGUGAAAUCCCACGGCUCAACCGUGGAAGUGCAUUCGAAACUGCAGAGCUUGAAUAUGGUAGAGGGUAGUAGAAUUCCUGGUGUAGUGGUGAAAUACGUAGAUAUCAGGAGGAAUACCGGUGGCGAAGGCGGCUACCUGGACCAAUAUUGACGCUGAGGAACGAAAGUGCGGGGAUCAAACAGGAUUAGAUACCCGGGUAGUCC
rnacentral:rRNA from 1 species